GCGAACAUGCCAAGUUCUGCCGGCAUCUGCAGCCCAGCAGCUCUUCCUAAGGCCCUGGGGUCCCCCCUCGCUCACACCCCGGAGUGCCCCCGCCCCCGACUGCACCAGCUGGGCACCGACGCAGCCAGAAUGGAGGGGGCUGGCAUGUUGGCAGGACCACCCCCGAGGGUGCCCAAGGGCACAGCAGCGCUCCAGCUGGGUGAGGGCGGUGGAAGGAGCCCGGCUCUCCGGGACUAACAGCCGGCUCCCUGCCUGAGCACGAUUAGGGAACAGCCUCACUGGCAGCGGCCCUGGACCCAAACACAGGAAGCCGGGACGGCUGGCAGCAGGCUAUCCACAGGACCAGCGAGUCACGCCACUGUUCUGGCCUCAGCUUCUCCAUCCGCAAAAUGGGAGAUUGGGGAAGCAAACAAUCUGCCCACCAGGCUGACGGACUCCUCCCACUGCAGACAAUCCCAGACAAAGCUAGAACAAUCUCCCUUCCCCGCGCCCCCAAAUCCACCCUGCUCAGGGGACGCUGACCUCACCCCCCUGCCACUUUGUUCCCCCACUUCUCCCACACAGUCGCGACCAGUGGCCCCCACCUCAUCCCCCAGGCUUCCUGCCAGUCCACGCCAACCUGAUAUGAAGAGCGGGGGGCAGGAGCCCCCGCAGGUGCCCAGGUGCCAGCCUCUCAGGAGGCCUUCGGCCAAGCCCAUACCACGGUCCCCAGGCCCCACGGUGGGAAGCAUCUGGGUCAGGAGCAGUGGCUCAGCUUCCCACCCACCAUGAGGGGGCCCCGGCGGCACCGGACACAAGGGCAAGGAUGGGCCCGCUGAGGCAGAAACUCCGGCCGGGCAGGGACCUGACCAAGGACACCCCGGCUUCAUGGAGAGGCCGGAAGACUAAGGUUGAGCCCAUGGGAGCCCCCAGUGCUUCCCCACCUUUCCGGGGACUGCAGAGAGCUCGCAGGUAGGUGCUUCCAUGUGCUACAUCCCCAAUGCCCCAGAGGGCCAAGAAGCCGAGGGGGUGGAGCCGGAUCUGCAAGUGGGGUCUGCCCCUCAGGGCCCUGGCUCAGCUGGUCUCUGCCUCCGGGAUUUCGCACAGUCCCACCUGCGCCCUGGGUCACCGUGCUCCCAGAGGUCUCUCCGCUCCCAGAGGUCUCUCCGCUCCCAGAGGCCGCCCCGCUCCCAGAGACCUCCCCGCUCCCAGAGGCCGCC
rnacentral:lncRNA from 1 species